UACGUAGGGCGCAAGCGUUGUCCGGAAUUAUUGGGCGUAAAGAGCUCGUAGGCGGUCUGUCGCGUCUGCCGUGAAAACCCGAGGCUUAACCUCGGGCUGGCGGUGGAUACGGGCAGACUAGAGGUAGGUAGGGGAGAAUGGAAUUCCCGGUGUAGCGGUGAAAUGCGCAGAUAUCAGGAGGAACACCGGUGGCGAAGGCGGGUCUCUGGGCCGUAACUGACGCUGAGGAGCGAAAGCGUGGGGAGCGAACAGG
rnacentral:rRNA from 1 species